rnacentral:lncRNA from 1 species
AUCUUGACAAAGAAGAGAAGAGCCUUAUUAAAGGGAUAACUAUAUUCUAAACUCUUCUUUGUUGCUCAUAAUUGUUUUAUUUGCUCAUUUAGGAGCUUUCAUUCUUUACUUAUUUAUUCUUGUUGUAAGGUUUGUUGGUAAGCCUGUAAAACCAACAUUGUAGGUUGUUGGUAAGCCCGUAAAACCAACGUAGGUUGUUGGU